UAUAACUCCAUGUGGACAAGGACUUGUCCACUUCAUCACUGAGGUGUCCCCACCACCAAGCACAAUGCCUGGUACAGGCAACGCUUGCUUCAAAUGAAACCUCACCAGGAAGGCAAAUGAGCCCACCAGACCAACACCAGUGUGCUCGGUCAAGAUGAAGAUCCUGAAGCAGAGAGAUGUCGACAGACCAUUUGCUCAAGCAGCCCUACCCCUGAAGAUGUAUUUAAAGAAUCGGACAGAUAAUUAUUUGUGUAUGGGGGACACAGCUUAGUACUAAAAUGCUAGUCAAAAAUUGCAUGUAAAUUGGAAGGAGAGUGAUUUAAAUUAAGGAGUUCAGGGGUCCUCAUAUUUGUCAGGAGGAGGAAAUAAAUUAACUUUAGGAUUUAUUAAG